UAAGGCUUGUUUAGAAUGCAAGGCUUCCUCAAUUCUCCACCCUUCCCCUCUUGACAUCUUGCUCUUCUUCCCUUCAUCUAUUGUGUUAGUCAGGUGCAUGCUGGUCUUCCCUCUAUCAAACUGUAAGCUACUUGGAGACUUGGGAUGCCUCACUCAUCUCUAUUCCCAAACCUCAGGGUCUAUCAUUCUACCUUCUGUAUAGACAGGACUUUCAUAGUUUUGAACAAGUCAGAACCUGAAAGAAUUUGCUUCCAGAACAGGACAUUGACAGGAAAAUUAAGCAUGAUCAUGCCGAGUAAAAUAGGAAUAAGAAUUGGACCUACCUCAAGAUCUGUUGAGAAGAUUAUGAGAGAGCUGAUGGAUCUAAAAGAUUGGCGCUUGAUAGAAUUGGGAUCAUUUGUUUUGACUAGAACAAUCUCUUGCAGCUUGGAUGGAGAAACUUUACAGAGGUUUCAGCCAAACACUCAUGAAUUCUUUAAUGUGUGAAAUAAAGAGCUAAAAUAAUAUCUAAGUUUCCUCUUUGCCUGACGCCAUCCAUGCAAAAUGUGACUUGCUUCUUCAGCAGCAGCAUGAAAACAAACUAAUACACCACUAUUCCUAGUUUGUACAACGAAAGGCUAAAAAUUUGGGAGAUGCAGGAUGACUGAAGCCCGAUUCUGGGGGUUGUUACAGCACAGUUACAGGGAUGUUCUCAGGUGUCUGGUGAUCCUUGCUUAUAAGUCCAAAUUAAUGAUGAGGCACUAAAAUGCUGAUUGGAAGCUCUCUGUGCAG
rnacentral:lncRNA from 1 species